UCUGCUGCGAAAAGGCCAAUUAAAGCAGGUUCAUUGCUCCCAGCAAUACCUAGUGCUAUUUUUUAGACAUUCACAGCGCUGGCUCAGGAUCGAUAUCUUCAUCCUGUGUGCGUGUGUGUUUAAGAGAAUUGUUGUGAAUAUCUAACAGGAAAUUUGCUUUUUUCCUCCGAAUAUUUUAUGGGAGAAUCCUUGGUUCCAGUCAGAGGGGAAAGUGUGCUAAGAGCUUUGAGCAGCUGCCCUGGAACCUGGAAUCUGCUACGAGUGGACAACCAACUCCCUAGUUAAAAAAAUUAAAGGAGAGAAAAAACCCUUCUCGGCCGCCGCUCUUGAGAGCACAGGGAUGUAGAGUUUGUCUGCACUGGCGAGCAGCUUUCUCUAGGGGGGUAUGAAACAUGCUGGAGCCCAUUAGGAGUCGACGGCCACCAUGUUAAGCAUGCGGAAGGUGGCCUCCUCCCUAAUGAUGUAAAUGCUUGCCGACAGCAUCCCCGCACACAGCUUGCAUGAUGAAUCACACAGUCCGGGUAAACGGUCCGGUCUGGCACUGUGCCAGCUUGCCAGCAUGCUAUUUUCUGCAAAGACUGCCAGGCUGCGUCCCGUUAAAUGCCCAUUGACGCAGAAUGGAACAAGGAUAAGCGGUUUGACAAUGGAUGGAUGGAUGGAUGAAAAUUUUCUCAAAAUGCAUGUUUAAAUAUGGAAAUGAGCA
ensembl:lncRNA